rnacentral:rRNA from 1 species
CCUACGGGCGGCUGCAGUCGAGAAUCAUUCACAAUGGGGGAAACCCUGAUGGUGCGACGCCGCGUGGGGGAAUGAAGGUCUUCGGAUUGUAAACCCCUGUCAUGUGGGAGCAAAUUAAAAAGAUAGUACCACAAGAGGAAGAGACGGCUAACUCUGUGCCAGCAGCCGCGGUAAUACAGAGGUCUCAAGCGUUGUUCGGAAUCACUGGGCGUAAAGCGUGCGUAGGCUGUUUCGUAAGUCGUGUGUGAAAGGCGCGGGCUCAACCCGCGGACGGCACAUGAUACUGCGAGACUAGAGUAAGGGAGGGGGAACCGGAAUGCUCGGUGUAGCAGUGAAAUGCGUAGAUAUCGAGAGGAACACUCGUGGCGAAGGCGGGUUCCUGGACAUUAACUGACGCUGAGGCACGAAGGCCAGGGGAGCGAAAGGGAUUAGAUACCCGAGUAGUC